rnacentral:tRNA from 1 species
AGCUCAGUUGGUAGAGCAUCUGACUUUUAAUCAGAGGGUCGCUGGUUCGAACCCAGCACGGC